rnacentral:rRNA from 1 species
UACAGAGGGUGCAAGCGUUAAUCGGAAUUACUGGGCGUAAAGCGUGCGUAGACGGUCAUGUAAGUCGGGUGUGAAAGCCCCGGGCUCAACCUGGGAAUUGCAUUCGAGACUGCAUGGCUAGGAUGCGGAAGAGGGAAGCGGAAUUUCCGGUGUAGCGGUGAAAUGCGUAGAUAUCGGAAGGAACACCAGUGGCGAAAGCGGCUUCCUGGUCCAGCAUACGACGGUUCAGGCACGAAAGCGUGGGGAGCAAACAGG